ACACCUCAACUCCUCAUGGUUUGCCAUGAUGAGCUUGGACCUUGGGGGUAUUGCUGGCCCUGUGGUUGGCUCCUCUCAAAUGGAUCAGCUUGCCAGUGUUUGGUGGCAUCACGGGUGUGAUAAAUAUCUACGCUUGUGGUUUUCCACCAGGUAACCUUCAGCAAUGGAGGUUCACUGGAGCUCAUAAAUGUCUCUCCUCAGUGAGGACAGAUUUUGACC
rnacentral:misc_RNA from 1 species